AACGAACGCUGGCGGCAUGCCUAACACAUGCAAGUCGAACGAGACCUUCGGGUCUAGUGGCGCACGGGUGCGUAACGCGUGGGAAUCUGCCCUUGGGUUCGGAAUAACAGUUAGAAAUGACUGCUAAUACCGGAUGAUGACGUAAGUCCAAAGAUUUAUCGCCCAAGGAUGAGCCCGCGUAGGAUUAGCUUGUUGGUGAGGUAAAAGCUCACCAAGGCGACGAUCCUUAGCUGGUCUGAGAGGAUGAUCAGCCACACUGGGACUGAGACACGGCCCAGACUCCUACGGGAGGCAGCAGUGGGGAAUAUUGGACAAUGGGCGAAAGCCUGAUCCAGCAAUGCCGCGUGAGUGAUGAAGGCCUUAGGGUUGUAAAGCUCUUCUACCCGGGAUGAUAAUGACAGUACCGGGAGAAUAAGCCCCGGCUAACUCCGUGCCAGCCGCCGCGGUAACAC
rnacentral:rRNA from 1 species